rnacentral:rRNA from 1 species
AAUCAACGCUGGCGGCGUGCCUCAGACAUGCAAGUCGAACGCGAAAGUCCCCCUCGGGGGACAAGUAGAGUGGCGCACGGGUGAGUAACACGUAGGUAAUCUACCUUCGGGUGGGGAAUAACAAUCGGAAACGGUUGCUAAUACCGCAUAAUGCAGCGGCACCUAAUGGUGACAGUUGUUAAAGCGGGGGAUCGCAAGAUCUCGCGCCUGAAGAGGAGCCUGCGGCGGAUAGCUAGUUGGUAGGGUAAUGGCCUACCAAGGCGACGAUCCGUAGCCGGCCUGAGAGGGCGGUCGGCCACACUGACACUGACAUACGGGUCAGACUCCUACGGGAGGCAGCAGUCGGGAAUUUUUGGGCAAUGGGCGAAAGCCUGACCCAGCAACGCCGCGUGAAGGAUGAAAU